rnacentral:lncRNA from 1 species
GCUUGGGAAUUGAGGCUUUUCACAAUAAAUCUUUACAUCUUGCUUCCUCUGAGCACUCAUUUCCCAUGCUGGUUCCUUCCCUUCCUACGUUCUCCACUUGCAGGUGAUCCCACCUUUCCUGCAGCAUGCGAGACCCAGGCAGCACAAGAAGUUUAUCUGAGAUGCUGGGGCUGUCCAUCCCUUUCCCAUGGUCCAGCACUACCCGAGCUUCCCCCAAAAAGUGUAGCAGUGACGUUCCUGUAAAUGUUCACUGUGUGGCUCUGUGGUAUGGGCUGUGCUGUCUGCACGCUAACAGCAGUCUCCGCUUCCCUUGCAGAAGGACCAGCACUUGAUCUGGAAGCACCACGCGGGACUUACGAUCCUCCCAGGACGAGUUUGAUGGUUUUCUUCCCAUCAGAAGCAUGAGGCUGUGCUCUGGGGUCAGGAUGUCGGUGACACACAGAUGACACGGAGCACUGAAGCCUGCGUGUGAAUCAGGUGGCUGCUGUGCACCGGAUGUGUGCCCGUGCUGCAAAACACGUGUCCUUGUUGUGCUUCCUCGAGAGAUGCAUCUGCUGAUGUCAGCUUCCAGUGAUGGAGACUCAGCUGUCUUCCCCAGGACACUUCUUCAGAGAUGACUUUGACACAGCAUCGAGGCUGAAGCCCUUGGG